UAUAAUAUAGAUGUACAAUAUAUGAUAGUAUAAAUUUAUAACCUUAGUUAUAUAAUUAUAUAAUAACACCUUUUAUUUUGUAGAAUAUUUUUAUAACACUAGCUUCUAAUAUUAUCUAAGUUAAGAAAAUAUCUAUUAUUUCAUAAAUGAGUUAGUAGCACUUCAUUCACGUGUCUUUCUUAAAAAAAAAAAAAAAAAAAAGAGGCCUUAUCUCCAUGUAUAACAAACUCAAUACCUAUCAUCUCCGGUAACAUAUUACUCUAGAAUUUUCUUCUAACCCAAAACAUUUCAGCCAUAAUAAUCCUCUCCUAAUCCUAGUCUAGGUACAUUCCUACCUUGUUAGGAACUCGUAACUCGAUCUAACCGUAUUAUACUCGUAUAACAAACUAAUCCAAGCUAACAAAAAGAUAAACACCAUCAUCCCUAAACUUACGCUAGUAAUCAUAACCGUAUUCUGAAUAGCCUUAUCAUCCUCUUUCCACAUAAAUAACAUUCAAAACCCUAAUACACAAAUCUUGAAAAACCCUCGUAUACUCACAAGAAAUCACCAAGAGCUCCGCAUAAGAAAACCGCCAGAAAACCUUGUGAACUUCCAUCUACUUUCGGCUUCACCGAGACACCAUCAAACGACCUCGAUCACCACCGCGAAGAUAAAACCUUUACAGCCCUCACAACCCUCUACAACUACGGCCUUUCGGUUCCCAAAACCGCCAACUAACGAAGAGUACGUAGAAGGCUGAAGGAAGGUUUACUAGUACUUGUGUGCGGUUUGUGAGACUAAGCUUAAUAAGACUUAGCAUUAAAUGCAUACUUGGACCAAGGGCAUUAUUUCCGUCACGUUCUACGGAGGGGCAACGUUUGGGGCUCUAAAUACUUGUUCUUGUUUGGUUCGAGAGCAGCUAGGGAAAGCACGCAUCACAUUGUACGUAACCUAAAUUAUGCUAAUUAACUAUAUGGCAAUUAAUUUGGAUUCUGGCUUUAUGGUUUUUCCGCUGAAUUAUAUUAUUGUAUUAUUCAUAACCUAACAGUGGUAUUACGAGCCUCUAAUUAAUUCCAUAAUCAAUUAUAGUUAGCAUGGAUUUAAAUUUAUAAAUUUGCAAUGAAUUAAAGGGGAUUAAUUUCUUGGAUGUAAUUGUUUGCAAAUUCGUGCGAUUAUUUGAUUAUAUGUUCGCAGGAUUUUUCGGCAGUUUUGUCAAUAAUGGUCGAAAUCUUAUG